CGCGCAGAACCGGAAGCCAGGUCACUCCUGCACGGCCCCGCCCGCUCUCCCGUUGGGGAUCCCCAUUUUGUUUCCGGGGGUUUCAGGAGUGUUAGUGGGGGAGGCGGUGCCGACGCCGCCCGACUCCGGGCCCUGCAGGGGCCGGGCAUGUGGGCGGGCAUCCCUCAGGCCUCCGCCCCUGGCGAGGAGGCUCCCUGGAAAUCACCAACGGAGCCCGAAGAGGCCGGCCGGGAGCGGCAGCAGGUAGAGGCGUCUUUGGGGAGGUCGAGCUGGCGGCUGUGACGUUUCUGUGACGCGCCCCGAAUCAUUCUUUUCCGUGUGUGCCGACAGGACGCCAUGGGUCUGAGAGGUGAGGCUGUAUGGAAAUCCCAACACUGAGAUUGAAGAUUUAAUGGAUACUCCUCUGUAAAUAGUCUAUUAAGUCUUAUUGGACAGUCACAAGCUGUGGCAGCUUUCAUAUUUCUAUUCCCCUUUGGAAGCAACAACUUCCCACUAUUGCCUUGAUUGACUGGGAACUCUGAGCACCGCAGAAAAUCCCAAGCUCUUCUACAGCAGCAUUCCCCAACCGGGAGCCCUCAAGGUAUGUAUAACUAGGAACAUGAAAGUAGGGCCAUGCUAGCUGAGAAUGAUGGGGCUGUAGCCCAACACUUCUAGAUGGUGCCAAGAUGUGGACGACUGGCCUAGAAUAUGCUUUCAGCUUAUGUGGGAUACAGGCCAAGCCUGCUGAGUUUUCUUUUUGCCUGGUGUUGCCACCUGUCUUCUGUACCUAGGUAGCACUGGGAAGGCUGGUGGGGGGCAGAUGAACUGGUGAGAUAUGCCUUGCUGCAGCUGCUGAGGAAAGAAAGGGGGCAGUGUACACCAGUUUUGCACUGUUUGCCACAUCCAAAUUUUGUUUGGUCCAGAUUUUCUCUCUUGGUUUGGUUCAGGCUCACAGGGGCGUAACAGGAUAUUUUGCUACUUAAUAAAUGGAACUGUUAGUGAGUUUGCUUUGGUGCCCUGUGGCACAGUUUGGGAACUGCUAGUUAAUAAACUUUGGUUUAUUUUGUAAAUGAAAAAGGAAGUGGAACUAGCCAUCCAGGUACAAAGCAGUGUUUAUUUAGCCAUUAGAUACGUGAGAAAAAUAAGUUUUCAGGUGAAUGGGAUUGUUUAAAUCAAACUGAAACAUAAGAAAUUUGCAAUAGCCUUGGAGCUGGCUUAUCACCUAGUUCACACCAGCCUGUUGUAAAUCUUAUAACAUAUCCAUGACAACCCAGGAAUCUGUCCUCAAGAUGCCAAUAAAGGAUGUCUUCUUUGACAUUUGGUACCCUAAAUUGCCCCCUCCUUUUGACCUGUUUCUACUCACUAAGACAAUUGUUUUCUUUAAAGAUAGUAGAUAGCAGAAGGGCAAGAAGUAAUCAAGAUCUAUUGCUUAUGAAUAUGUAUGUAUGCAUCAUUUCCCUCUUUUCUGAAAUGUAUAAAUAUCAGUCCAUCACUUUUGUUUGGAGGAGUGUCUCUCAUCAUCCUUUUGGUGGGGUUCCCUCCAGUAGGUACUGUUUAUAUAAUAAAUACCGCAGUGAGCCUUGAUUAUUUGCUUUGGGUCCUGCGUUUUGAUUCCACAAAUACAAUUAGUAAGUCCUUUUAAGGCCAUAGUUUUGAGCACUGCUGUGUGGUGGUAGAAUUUUGCAGAUCCCACCUAGAAAAUUGUUCAGCAACUGUUCAAAGUUACAAUGAUGCUGAAUAAGAGUGACUUAGGAUUGGUCCUUGGAGUUCCAGCCUUCCAAGUGUCCCUAUAGUCACAUGAUUGCCAUAGUUACACCUAUAGUUACACUUCAAAACAAUUUGCUCCAAAUGUAGCAGUA